CCUACGGGAGGCAGCAGUGAGGAAUAUUGGUCAAUGGGCGCGAGCCUGAUCCAGCCAAGUAGCGUGAAGGAUGACUGCCCUACGGGUUGUAAACUUCUUUUAUAAAGGAAUAAAGUGAGGCACGUGUGCCUUUUUGCAUGUACUUUAUGAAUAAGGAUCGGCUAACUCCGUGCCAGCAGCCGCGGUAAUACGGAGGAUCCGAGCGUUAUCCGGAUUUAUUGGGUUUAAAGGGAGCGUAGAUGGGUUGUUAAGUCAGUUGUGAAAGUGUGCGGCUCAACCGUAAAAUUGCAAUUGAUACUGGCAGUCUUGAGUACAGUUGAGGUAGGCGGAAUUCAUGGUGUAGCGGUGAAAUGCUUAGAUAUCACGAAGAACUCCGAUUGCGAAGGCAGCUUACUAAACUGCCACUGACAUUGAUGCUCGAAAGUGUGGGUAUCAAACAGGAUUAGAUACCCUUGUAGUC
rnacentral:rRNA from 1 species